rnacentral:misc_RNA from 2 species
AACGCAUAUUGCGCUCUUUGGUAUUCCGAAGAGCAUGCUUGUUUGAGUAUCAGUAAACACCUCAAAGCCUUCAAUUCAGUUUGAAAGCUUUGGACUUGAGCAAUCCCAACAUCAGUCUCGCGACUGACGGAGGGCUGCUUGAAAUGCAGGUGCAGCUGGACAUUCUUCUGAGCUAUAAGCAUAUUUAUUUAGUCCCGUCAAACGGAUUAUUACUUUUGCUGCAGCUAACAUAAAGGGAGUCUGACCGUAUUGGCUGACUGAUGCAGGAUUUCACAAGGGCUGGCAACAGCUUCUUGUAAAACUCGAUCUCAAAUCAAGUAAGACUACCCGCUGAACUUAA